rnacentral:rRNA from 1 species
UAGGGAAUCUUCCACAAUGGACGCAAGUCUGAUGGAGCAACGCCGCGUGAGUGAAGAAGGCUUUUCGGGUCGUAAAACUCUGUUAUUGAAGAAGAACGUGCGUGACAGUAACUGGUCAUGCAGUGACGGUAUUCAAUCAGAAAGUCACGGCUAACUACGUGCCAGCAGCCGCGGUAAUACGUAGGUGGCAAGCGUUGUCCGGAUUUAUUGGGCGUAAAGCGAGUGCAGGCGGUCUUUUAAGUCUGAUGUGAAAGCCUUCGGCUUAACCGAAGAAGGGCAUCGGAACUGGGAGACUUGAGUGCAGAAGAGGAGAGUGGAACUCCAUGUGUAGCGGUGAAAUGCGUAGAUAUAUGGAAGAACACCAGUGGCGAAGGCGGCUCUCUGGUCUGUAACUGACGCUGAGGCUCGAAAGCGUGGGUA